rnacentral:rRNA from 1 species
GACGAACGCUGGCGGCGUGCUUAACACAUGCAAGUCGAACGGAAAGGCCCGGCUUUUGUGGGGUGCUCGAGUUGCGAACGGGUGAGUAACACUUGAGUAACCUGCCCUUGACUGUGGGAUAACUUCAGGAAACUGGGGCUCAUACCGCAUAGGAGCUCCUGCUGCUGGGUGGGGGUGGGAAAGUUUCGGUGGUUGGGGAUGGACUAGCGGCUUAUCAGCUUGUUGGUGUGGUAGUGUCUUACCAAGGCUUUGACGGGUAGCCGUCCUGGGAGGGUGACCGGCCCCAUUAGGAUUGAGAUACGGCACAGCCUCGUACCGGACGCAGCGGUGCAGAAUAUUGCACAAUAGGCGGGAGCCUGACCCGGCCACGCCGCGUGCGGGAUGACAGCCUUCGGGUUGUAAACCGAUUUCGCCUGUCACGAAGCGUGAGUGACGGUAAUGGGUAAAGAAGCACCGGCUAACUACGUG